UUUUAAGAGUGCGAGAAGAGGCAUCGAUAGAGAUAGAGAGAGAAGCAGAUCAAAUAAAAAAGGGAGAGAUAGGGAAGAGAACUCGUUGGGAGAAGAAUGAAAAGUUGAAGGAGAAAGAAAGGAAAGGUUAGGCAGAGGCUACACGUUGCAGGAAGUCACUGCGCCAUAGCCACCGCAGAUUAAGGAGAAGGAUAGAUUGACAGAGAGGAGAGGAGAGAGAAAAUGGUGUUAUUUUCCUAACAGUCGAACUCUCUGUCUUUGCCUUUUCUCGCGGGAGAAGUUGCUGGGAGGAGAAUCGGGGGAGAAAGAGGACACGGUGGAUUCCAGUUAAGAUGUAGUUGUUGGAGAAGUUGAGAAGGAUAUUAAUAUGAUCCAUAGAGAGUAUGCAUCAAAGGAAUUAAGGUUAGUACCUGCUAAUUCUGAUGAUAAUGCAUCUACUAAAAAUAUUGUUUAUCCACUUUCGACAGAAAGAUAAAGUUUGAACAAGCUUCAGAAAGCCAAAAUGAUAAUGAAAAAAAGUUGUUGAGACAAACAUCUCAAAAAAGGAGGCACCAUAAUAUGAUAAAACUCAUGAUUUACGGUGCUCUACAAGAAUAAUAUCUGAGACAGUAAAAUGAGUGAAGAGAAGAAAGGUCUUGUGGAUGAAAUGGGAUUUAGUGCUCUGACACAGCUUUUGAAGAAACUAGCUCAUGACUUCGAUUUAUAUAGAAGCUGCCUAGCACGCGUUAUGUAUCGACCCAACUCCUAGUAUGUCAAUAUCACACCAGAAGCUAAGCGUCACUAAAUUGGUACCCGGGCUAAAUUGAGAGACUAAAUUGAAAAUUGUACUAAGCUGAAAUGCCACCAAAAAAGAUGCCAAAAGAUGUCCCCAUAGCCGGAAUCAUAUAACGCCGUUCGACAGACCUUAGUGUGGCUUGCCUACGGCCACAUAGCUCCCCGAGGAAGGUAACUCCUCGUCCUCCAGAUACUCCUCUUGGUCCUCCUCCUCUGAGUCCUCUGGAACAGCUACUCCACUAGAAGAACUACUGCUCCCAUUUUUGCCACCCAAGAUAGGUUUGUUGGCGUAAAUUAGAGCCAAAGCCUUGCCCAGUGGUCCAAACUAAGCCUGCAAGUGCUCUACUAAGGAGUGUGGUGCCUGUGGUGCCGGAAGUAUGAUCACAUUUGGAGGUGGAUUAGAUAUGUACGCCUCAUCUGCGUCAGGCUUAGGAGCCGCCUAAUUGAAAGCUUGAGUUGGGAUAGGUGGUCUGGGAAAAGGAUAACCUAGUGCAUCAGGGAGAAGUCAAGAGAAAGAGAAAUCAUAGACAUGUCCGGAUUGAAGUCCGGGCUGUCCAACGGGUGCAAGAAAGGUCUGUCGCAUAGUACAUAUAAAUGAAUACGAGGUUUCCCGCAAUAAACAUCAUAACUCCCGAAGGUCGGGUUCUCAUAUAUAAAUAGAUGCCCCACAUCAUAAAAGAGAACUCCCAUCUCCAUCUGAAGGGAAGAAUUGGGUAUAAGAACUUGGGGUUUUCUCUUCUAUGAGGUGGGACAUCCGUUUAUAUAUGAGGACCCGACCUUCGAUAGUUAUUAUGUUUAUUGCAGAAAACCUCGUAUUCGUUUAUAUGUACUAUGUUACAGACCCUUCUUGCACUUGUUGGACAGCCCUGACUUCGAUCCGGACAUGUUGUAUGUUUUCCCUCUCUCUUGGCUUCACCCUGACGCGCUAGGCUAUUCUAUCCCAAGACCUUUCAAUUAGUCAGCUUUUGAGUCUGAUGCAGAUGAGGCGUACAUACCUAAUCCACAUCCAGACAUGAUCAUACCUCUAGUACCAUAGGCACCACUCUCCCUAGCAGAGCAGUUGCAGGUGCAAUUUGGACCACUGGGAGAGGCUUUGGUUCUAGUCUACACCAACGGACUCAGAUGAGGAGGAGUUACCUUCCUCGAGGAGCGAUGCUUUCGUAAGCAGGCCACACGGAGGUCUGCCAAAUGGCGAUAUAUGAUUCCGGCUAGGGGGACAUAUAUUGACAUCUUUUUGGUGGCAUUCCAGCUUACUACAAUUUUUAGUUUAAUCUCUCACUUUUGUUAGCACAUAGAGAGAUUAUGAGGGUUUAAAAGUACCAGGCUAGUUCAGGUACCAGUUUAGCGGCUUAUUAUAUGGGCCAGGGUCUGGGAAUGUCUUAUGUUUAUAUAUGUACAUAUUUAUCAUAUGGGAUGUAAAUUGGUUGGGUCUAUAAACACUUUACUAAUGACUAUAUCUCUCUUGGAUGUAUGACACGAGGUUUAUAUAUUAUGUUAUUUUAUUUAUGCUUCUGAUAUUAA